rnacentral:rRNA from 1 species
ACGGGAGGCAGCAGUAGGGAAUAUUGCACAAUGGGGGGAACCCUGAUGCAGCAACGCCACGUGUGGGAAGAAGCAUUUCGGUGUGUAAACCACUGUCGUGCGGGAAUAAUGCUUGGUCUCGGCCAAGUUGAAUGUACCUCGAAAGGAAGCACCGGCAAACUUCGUGCCAGCAGCCGCGGUAAUACGAGGGGUGCAAGCGUUGUUCGGAAUCACUGGGCGUAAAGGGAGCGUAGGCGGAGACGCAAGCAGUCUGUAAAAUCCCGGGGCCCAACCCCGGACCUGCAGACUGGACUGUGUCUCUUGGAUAGUUCAGGGGCAGGCGGAAUGCCUGGUGUAGCGGUGGAAUGCGUAGAGAUCAGGAAGAACCCCGAUGGCGAAGGCAGCCUGCUGGGGACUCAUCGACGCUGAGGAUCGAAAGUGCGGGUAGCAAACAGGAUUAGAUACCCUGGUA